UACGGAAGGUGCGAGCGUUAAUAGGAAUUACUGGGCGUAAAGCGCGCGUAGGCGGCUUGGUAAGUCAGGUGUGAAAGCCCCGGGCUCAACCUGGGAACUGCACUCGAUACUGCCGGGCUGGAGUACGAGAGAGGGGGGUGGAACUCCAGGUGUAGCGGUGAAAUGCGUAGAGAUCUGGAGGAACACCGGUGGCGAAGGCGGCCCCCUGGUUCGAUACUGACGCUGAGGUGCGAAAGCAUGGGGAGCAAACAGGAUUAGAAACCCGUGUAGU
rnacentral:rRNA from 1 species